AACCUUAUGGACCUGCGGGCGUAUACCUGCGGAAGGAUCAUUACAGAGUUAUCCAACUCCCAGACCCAUGUGAACUUAUCUCUUUGUUGCCUCGGCGCAAGCUACCCGGGACCCCGCGCCCCGGGCGGCCCGCCGGCGGACAAACCAAAACUCUUGUUAUCUUAGUUGAUUCUCUGAGCGUCUUAUUUAAUAAGUCAAAACUUUUAACAAUGGAUCU
rnacentral:misc_RNA from 1 species